rnacentral:rRNA from 1 species
CGGACGGUAGGUAGUAAUGCGUGACCAACCUCGCCCCAUGCUCCAGAAUAGCUCUUGGAAACGGGUGGUAAUGCUGGAUGCUCCAACUUGACGCAUGUCUUGUUGGGAAAGUGUUUAGUGGCAUGGGAUGGGGUCGCGUCCUAUCAGCUUGUAGGCGGGGUAAUGGCCCACCUAGGCUUCGACGGGUAGCCGGCCUGAGAGGGCGGACGGCCACAUUGGGACUGAGAUACGGCCCAGACUCCUACGGGAGGCAGCAGCC